rnacentral:rRNA from 2 species
UGGAAGAAUAUGCGGCAUGGAGAGUCUGACGGAGCACGCCGCGUGAGUGAUGAAGGCUUUCGGGUCGUAAAACUCUGUUGUUAGGGAAGAACAAGUGCUAGUUGAAUAAGCUGGCACCUUGACGGUACCUAACCAGAAAGCCACGGCUAACUACGUGCCAGCAGCCGCGGUAAUACGUAGGUGGCAAGCGUUAUCCGGAAUUAUUGGGCGUAAAGCGCGCGCAGGUGGUUUCUUAAGUCUGAUGUGAAAGCCCACGGCUCAACCGUGGAGGGUCAUUGGAAACUGGGAGACUUGAGUGCAGAAGAGGAAAGUGGAAUUCCAUGUGUAGCGGUGAAAUGCGUAGAGAUAUGGAGGAACACCAGUGGCGAAGGCGACUUUCUGGUCUGUAACUGACACUGAGGCGCGAAAGCGUGGGGAGCAAACAGGAUUAGAUACCCCGGUAGUCA